CAGCAGCCGCGGUAAUACGUAGGGUGCGAGCGUUAAUCGGAAUUACUGGGCGUAAAGCGUGCGCAGGCGGUUGUGUAAGACAGGUGUGAAAUCCCCGGGCUUAACCUGGGAACUGCGCUUGUGACUGCACAGCUAGAGUAUGGCAGAGGGGGGUGGAAUUCCACGUGUAGCAGUGAAAUGCGUAGAGAUGUGGAGGAACACCGAUGGCGAAGGCAGCCCCCUGGGCCAAUACUGACGCUCAUGCACGAAAGCGUGGGGAGCAAAUAGGAUUAGAUACCCCAGUAGUCCCUGUCUCUUAUAC
rnacentral:rRNA from 1 species